UCCGGUGUCCUUAAAUCCUUGAGCCCAUG
rnacentral:piRNA from 1 species